rnacentral:snRNA from 1 species
AGAUAUGAGGGCGAUCUCACUGCAACAUCUGUCACCCCAUUGAUUGCCAGGGUUGAUUCAGCUGAUCUGGCUGGCUAGGCGGGUGUCCCCUUCCUCCCUCACUGCUCCAUGUGCAUCCCUCCUGAAGCUGUGCACUUGGUUGAAGAGGACAACCAUCCUGACAGAGGAGGACCAUUCUUCAAUCAAGGGUAUACGAGUAGCUGCGCUCCCCUGACAGAACCUCCAAACAGGCUCUCAAGAAACCAACCAUGGGAGUCCCUUGGAGUGUUUUAAGUUUUAAGCAACACAUCAUAAAUCCCACCACCUUUAUCUUG